AGAGUUUGAUCAUGGCUCAGAUUGAACGCUGGCGGAAUGCUUUACACAUGCAAGUCGAGCGGCAGCACGGGGGCAACCCUGGUGGCGAGCGGCGAACGGGUGAGUAAUACAUCGGAACAUGCCCAGUCGUGGGGGAUAACACUUCGAAAGAAGUGCUAAUACCGCAUACGUCCUGAGGGAGAAAGCGGGGGAUCGCAAGACCUCGCGCGAUUGGAGUGGCCGAUGUCAGAUUAGCUAGUUGGUGGGGUAAAGGCCUACCAAGGCAACGAUCUGUAGCUGGUCUGAGAGGAUGAUCAGCCACACUGGGACUGAGACACGGCCCAGACUCCUACGGGAGGCAGCAGUGGGGAAUUUUGGACAAUGGGGGCAACCCUGAUCCAGCCAUUCCGCGUGAGUGAAGAAGGCCUUCGGGUUGUAAAGCUCUUUCGGCAGGAACGAAACGGCGAGCUCUAACAUAGCUUGCUAAUGACGGUACCUGAAGAAGAAGCACCGGCUAACUACGUGCCACCAGCCGCGGUAAUACGUAGGGUGCGAGCGUUAAUCGGAAUUACUGGGCGUAAAGCGUGCGCAGGCGGUUGUGUAAGACAGGUGUGAAAUCCCCGGGCUUAACCUGGGAACUGCGCUUGUGACUGCACGGCUAGAGUAUGGCAGAGGGGGGUGGAAUUCCACGUGUAGCAGUGAAAUGCGUAGAGAUGUGGAG
rnacentral:rRNA from 1 species